ACUCCUACGGGAGGCAGCAGUAGGGAAUCUUCCACAAUGGGCGCAAGCCUGAUGGAGCAACACCGCGUGAGUGAAGAAGGGUUUCGGCUCGUAAAGCUCUGUUGUUAAAGAAGAACACGUAUGAGAGUAACUGUUCAUACGUUGACGGUAUUUAACCAGAAAGUCACGGCUAACUACGUGCCAGCAGCCGCGGUAAUACGUAGGUGGCAAGUGUUAUCCGGAUUUAUUGGGCGUAAAGAGAGUGCAGGCGGUUUUCUAAGUCUGAUGUGAAAGCCUUCGGCUUAACCGGAGAAGUGCAUCGGAAACUGGAUAACUUGAGUGCAGAAGAGGGUAGUGGAACUCCAUGUGUAGCGGUGGAAUGCGUAGAUAUAUGGAAGAACACCAGUGGCGAAGGCGGCUACCUGGUCUGCAACUGACGCUGAGACUCGAAAGCAUGGGUAGCGAACAGGAUUAGAUACCCUGGUAGGCAAGCC
rnacentral:rRNA from 1 species